CUGGAACUGUGGCUGGGCACUCCAUCAUGCCGGUCCAUGGCGGAAUAGGUGUGGACUAACAUCUGGAAAUAAAAAAAGUCUUGUAAUAGCUAAAAAUCAAAGUGUGGCGAUAACACUAAUAUUUGGAAGGGAAAAAAAUAUAUAGAGAUAUAUAUCAAGGAGAUCUGCAAAGGGCCGUGUUGGACACAGGAGAACAGCUUGAGGUAUUUCGGAGACUAUCCAUCAAAAAAAGAAAAAAAAAAAAGAAAAAAAAAGAAAAAAAAAGAAAAAAAAAGAACCAAUGCCCCCAAAACCGAGCCUGGAAACCUCUAUCUACAUAUAUGAUUCACCCCUCCCUCUCUGUUGUUGUUGUUUUUUCUUUUUUUUUUCUUUUUUUUUCUUUUUUUUUUUUCCCUUUGAGCUCCCAAACGCAAUCCUCUUCAACCCAAGGCUGGGCUCAGACUGCUCCGCUACCCCUUCCUCCCUUUCCUUCCCUACGCCGCCUCAUAAUAAUUGAUAUUCAUGACUAUUAAUAUUACACGACUACUUUAAAGGGAGAAUGCAGGACCAAAUGGAGCGUGAAGCUGGCAGCCAGCUCGAGAGCUCCCCUACUAUUGUAAAUGACGUUCAUUCAGUGGAGAAUUACUCGAUGUAAUCAGACGAGGGGGGCUGGCAGGGGCAGAGUUUGGGGAGAGGGAGAGGGGGGAAAAAGUUUAGCAGGGAAGAGGCAGAACUUCAAUUAACUCGAGCGGGGGAAGACGUGGAAAGCAGACACUGAGCAGGGAAGGGAGAUGGAGCAGUGCUGGAGGCGAAGAAGAAGAAAAAACGUAUUUCUUUUUUCUUUUUUUUCCCCCCUUUUACGUUUAAUUAUACAUUCCCAAUACGGUGAAUUGAUUGCCUUUGGUGCUUUUGUUCUUGUAGAUUUUUCCUUUUUAACAAAUAACGAGGAAAAUAAGAGGCUUUCUUAAUCCUUUCGCUUCUUUUCUUUUUUUUUUUUCUUUUUCUUUUCCUUUUUUUCCCUCAAAAAAGAAGAAAUGCGCACUGACUCCAGUCUAUCUAUUUACAGCCGAGAUUAAGCCCUUCUGGUGCGUGUUACCGACCGUGUUCAUUCGGAACAGCCCAAUAAACACUGCAGCAGGGUGAAGUUGGGCUCCCUUCGAUUCCGAAUCCUCCUCCAGCCCGAUACGCAGAAAGAACCCAACCCGCCGUAGAGAUGUGCACGUAUCUAUCCCGAUUUUCACCCAAAUGUAAAAUGUAUGCAGUGAUUUUUAAAGGAUAGUAGAUUUCUAGUUUCGAGGCAAAGCCGGGGGCGAUGUAAAACCUUUUUGAUGUUGCAGGAACUCGUUCAACUGGACUGUCUGCCAUUUCUGUUAAAGUUCAACUUACGUUCCUUCCUAAAUAGACUCACACUUCCCAGAGCAGCCCCCCCACCCCCAUUACGCGCACACACGCACACUUUUGUUUUAAGAACAGAUUCCAUUUAAGCGCCUGAGACGCCCCUACCAUCGUGUUCUUAAUUAGAAAUCGGAAAGAAAAAGGAGGAGAAACACUUUUCUUUUUCUUUUUUUUUUUUCUUUUUUCUUUUUCUUUUAAAAAACCCUUCCUUCUCUUUCAAACCUACCCACAGAUACAUUAUUUUGAAGGCUGCCCGGAACGGAAUGACCCGAAGAGCACCCGCGGGUUAGGAUCACUCUGCCCCAUCCCACCGCUCCCACGGCCGUGGAGGGACGCACGACGCUUUCAUCUCCCCUUCCAAAAACCAGAGUGGGGGGAGAGCCCCGACAUUCCCCCACCUCGCAGGACGGGAAGGGAGACGUUUUGUCGCCCGCUGCUGCGGCACAGACAAUGGCCGGGCUGUGCAGGGGACGGGGAAGGCUCGGCGGGGCCGGGGGCGGCCGGGGGACCCCCGCACACCCACCGGGCUGAGCUGCCGGUUGAUAACUAGCCUGAAUACAGCUCGGAGACACUGGGGCUGCGAAAAGUCGGAGCAGUGCCCUCUCUCUGCUUCUCUUUCUCUCUCUCUCCCUCUCUCUCUCCCUUUUUUUUUUUUUUUUUUUUUUUUUUUCCUCGUUUCUUUUUAACACUGAGUGCUUUCCCGAUGGAAGCCCGGAGCGAUGUGGGACCGCUUUGGGGCUGCAGCUAUGCUGCCCCGACGGCGCUUCCUCGGGGCGGACGGUAUCGCCCAGCGCCCUUCCAACACCGCCACUCAACAGCUGUGCGAAUCCCUCCCCGAUUCCUACGAACACCACCACCACCAAAUCCAAAUUAAAAACACAACCACCACCACCACCACCAAAAAAAAAAAAAAAAAAAAAAAAAGACGAAGCGGCAAACCUUUCCCUCCAUCUAAUUAUUAUUAUUAUUUGUUCCCAUUUCGGAGCCGAUCCAGCGCGCUGCUUUACUUACAAGGAACGCAUUCGCGGAGCCGUGUUGGGAAAGAUCCGGGCAAAAUUAAGAACCGUUUGGCUCUGCUGUGGUCCCCCCCCCUCCACACACACACCGUCCCCUCCCGCCUCGCUCUGCUUUUGGACCUCAAAAAUCCCGAGGAGGUCUCUGAAAUAAAGCCCAGAACUUUCCGUGCCCGCUUUGGAUGGAUCGGUUCGGCUGUGUGCACCCACGGACGUGCGACAAUGUGUGUGCCUCGUCAUUAGUGCGGGUGGAUGCGGACGCGCACAUCUUAUCUACCGGUGUGUGCGUGUAAAAAGAGUCGUAAAAACGCCAUCCGGUCGUGAAAAGGAGGAAAAGACAAAAUAUACAUAUAUCCAAAUUCGGGUUUGAGCUUAGAUUGGGAUCGGAAAUUAAGAAACUAGGACAAAAAGAAAAGAAAGAAAUGCAUCCCGUCCCCGAAUAGCAGAUCGCGUUUCUCUUCUAAUUUCAUCUUUUCCCCUCUUUCUCGACAUUUGCCCGUAUUUAAUCGAAUUACAUUUAAUUCGGGCUCUAAACAAUCCAACUCUUGCCUUUAAGUUGCCUCAUUCCAACCCCCAGAUCGUUUCUUUGAUGUUUUAAAUCGCAUCAAACAGCUUUUCCACGAAAGAAAAAAAAAAAAAAAAGAAAGAAAAAAAAAAGUUUAGGACUUGGCAUGCCGGCUACAAAUUUGCAAAUAAAUAAGCAUUUAAG
rnacentral:lncRNA from 1 species